rnacentral:rRNA from 1 species
CCCUUAGAUGUUCUGGGCCGCACGCGCGCUACACUGAUGCAUUCAACGAGCCUAUCCUUGACCGACAGGUCCGGGUAAUCUUUGAAUCUGCAUCGUGACGGGGAUAGAUUAUUGCAAUUAUUAAUCUUCAACGAGGAAUGCCUAGUAGGCGCAAGUCAUCAGCUUGCGUCGAUUAUGUCCCUGCCCUUUGUACACACCGCCCGUCGCUCCUACUGAUUGGGUGAUCCGGUGAGCUGUUCGGCCAUAGCAAUGUUUCUUGAGCAGGGCAAUGAAUGUUUCGCAAACCUUGCCACUUAGAGGAAGGAGAAGUCGUAACA